rnacentral:rRNA from 1 species
UACGGAGGAGGCAAGCGUUGCUCGGAAUCACUGGGCGUAAAGGGUGCGUAGGCGGAUUGCUAAGUCAGGGGUGAAAUCCUGGAGCUCAACUCCAGAACUGCCUUUAAUACUGGCGAUCUUGAGUCCGGGAGAGGUGAGUGGAACUCCUAGUGUAGAGGUGGAAUUCGUAGAUAUUAGGAAGAACACCAGUGGCGAAGGCGGCUCACUGGUCCGGUACUGACGCUGAGGUGCGAAAGCGUGGGGAGCAAACAGGG